UAGCAAACAACGACAACAAACAACAGCUUCCCCAGAAGACAAUAGCAAAACCAAAAUGCCCAUCUUGUCCUCCCCAAAUGACAACCUUCUUAAAACCAAGAGUAAUGCCAACCCUCGUUCUCUCGUCUCUCUCCAACUCCAUACGUGAGAGGCGUGCGUAGAAUAAGAAGGUGUACUCCAAAAGAUUCGAUAAAACACCAAACUAUUAUCCACUCAAUUUUUUAUUUUCUACCAAAUUGGUACAAUUUUUAGUUCAUCCUUAUCCUCAUCUAAAAUUCUCAAAAUACCCCUUAAAAUCCCCUCUCCCACAUGGACUGCAGUCAAAACUCAACCAUGAAUCUUGUUCUAUAAAUACCUAUUCUAUUUUGGUGAAAACCAAGUCUUGAUGGUUGGAAAAACUUUUGAACAAGAAGCCUUGAAGAUCAGAAUUAUCGAGCAAAAGGGAAUUUUGAGCUAAAGAUUUUCCUCUAGUUUACCAUUUUAUCAGAAUUCAUAUAAGACUCCUUUGAGCCUAGAGUUUCAAUUAAAAGUGGUGUUAUGGCGGUGGUUAAAGGAUUUUAACGACGACUUAGAGUCCUGGUUUUCUUCUCUAAGAAAGUUGCUGCAAUUGGUACUGUUGGAUCUCUGCCAGUUAUUAAUGUAGGUGGUGAAGAACUGAUAAGUGAUUGCUAUAAUAGUGUCUUAAAGGUGAACCAAAAGUACAAAAACAAAGCUAAACUUGUCUUGGUAAUGCGUAACUAUGCAAUAAAGCACAAGUUCAAUUUCAGAGCUGAGAGAUCUGACAAGUAGAGGUUUGGUUUUAAUUUUUCAAUAACAAUUUUUGAUUUAAUUUGCAAUUUGAUACAUCUGGAAGCUGUAGUGAUACAUUUGUAUAUUAGUUAAUUGUUGAUUCAUAUAGUAGGUUAUUCAUAUAACUGUUUUUUUAUGUUGGUGAUUAAUGUAACUGAUAAUUCAUGUAAUUAGUGAUUCAUAUAAAUGAUGAUUUAUGUAACUGGUGAUGCAAAUAACAUGUGAUUCAUAUAAGUGAUACAAAUAACUAAUUAUUCUUGUAAGUGCAUAUUCAUAUAAAUGGUGAUUCAUAUAACUGGUUAUUCAUGCACUUGGAUAUUCAUAUAAAUGGUGAUUCAUAUAAACAGAUUGAAAAAAAUAGGUUAUUCAUAUGUCUUGUGAUUCAUAUAAUAAAAAAGAAUAACAAAUUAAGUUCAUAUUUGUGAUUCUUGUUGACUGUUUAUUCAUUGGUUAGUUGGCUCAUUUUUUGAUUGAAGUAGUCUUAUAUGGUGAUUCAUAUAUAAACAGAUUAACGUAACUUCAUAUUGGCAAUUUAUUUUUUUGACGUAUAUUUUAGUUAUGUCUUGCUGUGCAAAUCGCCGGAAUGUAGUUGGAUAUUCAAGGCAUUCUGUAAGCAUGGUACUGAUACAUUUAUAGUAUGUACCUUCAACGAUGAACGCACCUGCUCAAUAAUGGACAGAGUGGUUGAGCAGCAGCAUGCAACCGUUGCCUUUGUAGCUGGAAUAACAGCUCCAAAAUUGGUGAACUACAAAAGAAUAGUCACCUCAAGCGACAUUAUUGAAGAUAUAAAAGGGGAACUUGGUUUGGACAUGAUUACAUGAAGGCGUGGCGUGCUAAAGAACGUGUUUUAAAGAUAUUGAGAGGGCGAUCGGCUGACGGAUAUGAGAAAAUGCCCACCUACGUAUACAUGUUGAAUUCUAUUUAUCCCAAUUCACAUAUAAGGAUACUACAACCUUUUAUUAGGGGAUUUGGGUAUUGUAGGCUUGUUGUGGUAGUAGACAGAAGUCACAUGAGAGGACCAUAUCAGGGAACAUUCGUUUCAGCUAGCACACUUAAUGGAGCAGAUAUUGCACGUAGUGAUUUAUAUUUUUCUUACAAAUGAUGGUAAUUGUUAUAUAAGUUAGACAUAAUAAUUGUUUGAUAUUAUGUAUCAAGACAUAUAUUACUGCUUGCGUAUGGGAUUGUAGAUUCUGAGAA